UACGUAGGGUGCAAGCGUUGUCCGGAAUUAUUGGGCGUAAAGGGCGCGUAGGCGGCUUUGCAAGUGACGGGUGAAAUCCCUCGGCUUAACCGAGGAACUGCCUGUCAGACUGCAUGGCUUGAGACCGGGAGAGGUGAGUGGAAUUCCCCAAGUAGAGGUGAAAUUCGUAGAUAUGGGGAGGAACACCGGUGGCGAAGGCGGCCACCUGGACGGUAACUGACACUGAGUGAACGAAAGCCAGGGGAGCAAACGGG
rnacentral:rRNA from 1 species